GCGGGCGUGGCGGAACGGUAGACGCGCCGGACUUAGGAUCCGGUGGGCCAUCCCGUGGGGGUUCGAAUCCCUCCGCCCGCACCA
rnacentral:tRNA from 1 species